rnacentral:rRNA from 1 species
AUUGAACGCUGGCGGCAGGCCUAACACAUGCAAGUCGAGCGAGCGGCGGACGGGUGAGUAAUGUAUGGGGACUGCCCGAUAGAGGGGGAUAACUAAUGGAAACGGUUGCUACUAACGCAUACUAUCGGAUAACCCAUAUUGGAUUAGCUAGUGGUGGGGGUAAAGGCUCCCCUAGGCGACGAACUCUAGCUGGUCUGCGAGGAUGAUCAGCCACACUGUGACUGAGACACGGCCCAGACUCCUACGGAGGCAGCAGUGGGGAAUAUUGCACAAUGGGCGCAAGCCUGAUACAGCCAUGCCGCGUGUAUGAAGAAGGCCUUAGGGUUGUAAAGUACUUUCAGCGGGGAGGCGUUACCCGCAGAAGAAGCACCGGCUAACUCCGUGCCAGCAGCCGCGGUAAUAC